AAGCAGAAAGAAGGAAUGAAAAGGAACAGGCUAACAGAAUGGAGACCAGGACGGGAACAGGCACAUUGAUUGCCUCAUGAAGAUAGGGUCGGCUAGACUCAGCAAACCGCUCAAAGCUCGUACUGAAAGUCGCUGGAAACAGGUGCACCGGAGCUGGAGAGAAGCUCAAGCAGAGAGAAGCGCACCCACGCACACAACUGCCCCCUCGCUGCUGUAUCAUGAGGACCUGUUGCUUUCUGUCUGCUUCUACCUAUCUCUUCAUGGUCUCAGAGAAGACUAUGAAAAUUCAUCAGAAGAAACCCAACCAGCCCACAACAUAUAUGCUAGCAAGAGAACAGCAUUAGUACUGAACUGAACAAGACAAAGCUAUUGUAUCACUCAAUGUAUGAAGAAAUGUAUGAAGAUAUAUAUGAAGAAACAGAGGUGAUUUUUUUUUGUUGUUGUUUUGUUUGUUUGUUUGUUUCUCCUCUUCUCUCUCCUCUUUCCUCUUCCUGGUAAGGUUAAUUUUUUUGUUGUUGUUGUCUUAUGAUAUAGUUUUGAUUAUUAAAAAUACAGAUUGUCUGAUUAAUUAUAAAUCAAUAGCCCAUUUAAAUUUGAAAUGAAGAAUUUCAGUCACUAAAAAAGAAAAUCUAGUCAUUCUGGUACAAACAUGGAAAAAAAAACAAUUAAAUAUUCCAAAAGUAUAGGUGAAAAUCACAUUUUUUCAAUUCCUUUUUAAGAAGUGUAUGCUUUGUAAUUCUUAAGUAGUAAUUUUCAUUUAGUCUCCAAAUAGCAUAGAACUUAAAUAAUAUUUCUACCCAGGCUCUCUGUACCAAAGGUAGUAGAGUGAUCUGCCUGAAUCUCUUCAACAUUACACCAUACAAUUUUUAGCGACUUUUAUGAUAUUUUUAGAAAUUGCUUCUGAUACUGUUAAGCUUCAGGUGAAGACAACUAAUCUUUACCACACCUAGAGGAUGUUUCCUGAAACUGGCCAGCCUCAAAUUGUGAUCUUGUUGUGUUUGAAGAGAAUAUCACAAGAUCUUGCUUGAUCUAGUCUGCAGACACAAGUUGAUGUAAGGAGACCUCAGCUUUGACUCAGCAGUGUGUGUGUAUGUGUACAUAGUUGAAUAUAUGUUUUAAUACAUUCAACUCAAGAAAUUAGUACUUAAAAAGAGUCAUCUCACAAAGCAAAUGAAGAAAAAUAUCACCCUUUAUUUCAUCAGCAAAGAAUGAUGGUAAGUGUCUGUCAUGCAAUAAAAGUUCUAACCUAGUUUCCUUCCA
rnacentral:lncRNA from 1 species